rnacentral:rRNA from 1 species
AUUGAACGCUGGCGGCAUGCUUUACACAUGCAAGUCGAACGGUAACAGCACUUCGGUGGCUGACGAGUGGCGAACGGGUGAGUAAUACAUCGGAACGUGCCUAGUAGUGGGGGGUAACUACUCGAAAGAGUAGCUAAUACCGCAUGAGAUCUAAGGAUGAAAGCAGGGGACCUUCGGGCCUUGCGCUACUAGAGCGGCUGAUGGCAGAUUAGGUAGUUGGUGGGAUAAAAGCUUACCAAGCCGACGAUCUGUAGCUGGUCUGAGAGGACCACUAGCCACAUUGUGUGUGAGAAAGGUCCGAGACUCCUAGGGGGGGACGCAGUGGGGAAUUUUGGACAAGGGGGGCAAGCCUGAUCCUGCAAUGCCGCGUGAAGGAUGAAGGCCUUCGGGUGGUAAACUGCUUUUGUACGGAACGAAAAGACCUCUUCUAAUACAGGAGGGUCAUGACGGUACCGUAAGAAGAAGCACCGGCUAACUACGU